rnacentral:rRNA from 1 species
CAGCCGCCACGGGAAUACGGAGGGCGCGAGCGUUACCCGGAUUUACUGGGCGUAAAGGGCGUGUAGGCGGCCUGGGGCGUCCCAUGUGAAAGGCCACGGCUCAACCGUGGAGGAGCGUGGGAUACGCUCAGGCUAGAGGGUGGGAGAGGGUGGUGGAAUUCCCGGAGUAGCGGUGAAAUGCGCAGAUACCGGGAGGAACGCCGAUGGCGAAGGCAGCCACCUGGUCCACUUCUGACGCUGAGGCGCGAAAGCGUGGGGAGCGAACAGGAUUAGAUACCCCUGUAGUCCCUGUCUCUUAUAC